rnacentral:lncRNA from 1 species
GAGAUCAGAUCUAAGAAGAGAGAAAAGGAAGAAGAAGAGAAGAAGAAGGGUUCUUCUUCCCUUCAUGGUGAUCUGGUCCAGAUCCCAUCGGAUCUGUGUGAAAGACUUCGCGUAGCGAUCUGCUUCUUCAAGAUCUAAAAGAAGAGAUCAAGAUCCAUGAAUAAGGAAAGAGAUCUGUAAGGUACUAGCACAUCGAUGAUCUUGGUGCUCUGAUCAGGUAGCUCUAUAUGGAUACCAGCAGAGAUCGGGCACGUACGCGGCUACGAUCAGAACCUGGGACAUCCGCAAGAUCCGAGGUAUGGAGAUUCGAUCUCCAUUUUAUUUUUCUAAAAGUUUAUUUUUUGUGUUUCAGAUAUCAGAUCAUGGG